rnacentral:rRNA from 9 species
UAACAGGUCUGUGAUGCCUUUGGAUGUUCUGGGCUGCACGCGCUCUUCAUUGAUGCGGUCAGCGAGUCAUU